CAUUGAGGUGAUGAUUUUAUCUCUCUGAAUCACACCAUGUAUUUCGUAAAAUUCAGACUACAAUUAUCUGAUCAAUG